rnacentral:rRNA from 1 species
GAUGAACGCUGGCGGCGUGCCUAAUACAUGCAAGUCGAGCGAACGGACGAGAAGCUUGCUUCUCUGAUGUUAGCGGCGGACGGGUGAGUUACACGUGGAUAACCUCCCUAUAAGACUGGGAUAACUUCGGGAAACCGGAGCUAAUACCGGAUAAUAUUUUGAACCGCAUGGUUCAAAAGUGAAAGACGGUCUUGCUGUCACUUAUAGAUGGAUCCGCGCUGCAUUAGCUAGUUGGUAAGGUAACGGCUUACCAAGGCAACGAUGCAUAGCCGACCUGAGAGGGUGAUCGGCCACACUGGAACUGAGACACGGUCCAGACUCCUACGGGAGGCAGCAGUAGGGAAUCUUCCGCAAUGGGCGAAAGCCUGACGGAGCAACGCCGCGUGAGUGAUGAAGGUCUUCGGAUCGUAAAACUCUGUUAUUAGGGAAGAACAUAUGUGUAAGUAACUGUGCACAUCUUGACGGUACCUAAUCAGAAAGCCACGGCUAACUACGUG